AAAUCUGGAUUAAUACCCCAUGGCACAUAUUGAUGGCAUCUGAGAUAUGUUAAAGAUUUAUCGGUAUAAGAUGGGCAUGCGUCUGAUUAGCUAGUUGGCGGUGUAACGGCCCACCAAGGCGACGAUCAGUAGGGGUUCUGAGAGGAAGGUCCCCCACACUGGCACUGAGAUACGGGCCAGACUCCUACGGGAGGCAGCAGUAGGGAAUAUUGGGCAAUGGUCGGAAGACUGACCCAGCCAUGCCGCGUGCAGGAAGACGGCCCUCUGGGUUGUAAACUGCUUUUAUCUGGGAAGAAAAGGGCCAUGCGUGGCAAAUUGCCGGUACCAGAUGAAUAAGCACCGGCUAACUCCGUGCCAGCAGCCGCGGUAAUACGGAGGGUGCAAGCGUUGUCCGGAUUUAUUGGGUUUAAAGGGUGCGUAGGCGGCUGAUUAAGUCAGCGGUGAAAGACUUCGGCUUAACCGGAGCAGUGCCGUUGAUACUGGUU
rnacentral:rRNA from 1 species